rnacentral:rRNA from 1 species
CCUACGGGAGGCAGCAGUGGGGAAUAUUGGUCAAUGGGCGGAACCCUGAUGCAGCGACGCCGCGUGGGUGAAGGAGCUUUUCGGCGCGUAAAGCCCUAUCGGCGGGGAAAAAGAGGGACGGUACCUGACUAAGAAGCCCCGACUAACUACGUGCCAGCAGCCGCGCUAAUUCGUAGGGGGCAAGCGUUAUCCGGAUUUACUUGGGGUAAAGGGGGCGCAGACGGCGGUGCAAGCCGGGGGUGAAAGGCCGGGGCACAACCCCGGGAAUGCUCUUGGAACUGGGCGGCUGGAGUGCAGGAGGGGUAGGCGGAAUUCCUGGUGUAGCGGUGAAAUGCGUAGAUAUCAGGAGGAACACCGGUGGCGAAGGCGGCCUGCUGGCCUGCGACUGACGUUGAGGCCCGAAAGCGUGGGGAGCAAACAGGAUUAGAUACCCUAGUAGUC